GCUUUCGCUUGCUGCCAGGGAGAGGAGUGGGUGUGCUUCCAAGCCGUGCGCCUUCAUCAAUCUACGAGGAUUGCUGUGCACAGAUGUGUGUGAUUUACACGCAGCUGAGAGCCUGGCUCAGCUCCAGAGGGGUCCAGCUAUGUGAGGACUGAGUGGGGGGCCAGAUCAUGCCAUUUGCCAUGUUUGGUAUCCAGCUGUGUCUGCAAAAGAGUAAAUCAUCACUGGUUGCAGGAAUUGGAAUCUGUAAGCUGACGCAGUAGUAGCAGGCUGAUGUUUUGUUGUUGCUGACACAAGAAGAAGAACCCCUGCCUUUAUGGUGUGGCAGCAGUGGCUAUAUGUCGUGCAGACUGGAGGAGAGGCCCAAAGAAGCGCCCAGAGACAGACACGCUGAAACCUGAGAGUUCCUUCAGUCUGUGUUUGUUUUGUUUGACCUACUGGCCAAUUGUCAGAUGGGUCCUCAGAGUCCACAAGAAUGUGUCAUCUCUCAAGUGAAAGACAGUUUGUUGAUAGUCCAUGGGAACAGGUACUUCAGAGAGUCUUCAAAGGAUCUUUGCCAUCACUAUGGUAAUACCAGUUUCAAGCUGGCUGGUUAAAAUUACUGUGAGUAAUUGCACACUAUGAAAGUCAUUUAAUCACUGAGCUGCAGACACACUUCUUUCACCGCCUCUCUGCCUGGGGCGCACGAGGGGCAGCCUUUGUGUCUUUGUGCCUGCUGCAGGCACAGUGUGGUUAUGAAUUCCUGGUCCUCACAAGGAUGUGCGUAACCCGUUGAAUAGCUUUGAAAUAUCAGUUGCCUGUCUAGAAGAGAAUAACUUUCACAGAGACCUCUUUCAAACACGUAUGUCUUGAAUAAAUAGCAGUUCUGAAGUCAGUAAGCAAUCCCUUUAGCUGUCAAGCUUCUCAUAUGUUACACAUUUUUAAGCUCCACCUUCUUGGAAUACUGCUUCAGAAAACACAGAAAUCCCAUAGCACCUUUAAACCCAAGACAGAUACUCUUAUCUGUCAUAUUACUAUGACCAUAGCCACAGAACUGAACCUUAAUUUAAAAAUACUGUACUUCAGUUUCUAUAUCUUAAUAGUCAUGUGCCAGAAGACUGAACUUCGGUCAGUGAAAAAUUUACAGCUUUUGAGGUAGCAAAUUAGCCUCCUAUUUUCAUGUUUACGUCUUAUCUUUUGAUAAUUUUUUCCUUCAUAAUAAAAUGAUCUUUUAUUUGCUUUUUGUUUUCUAAGAUAAGAAACAGCGGACAGUCCCAAAACCUGCUGAUUCACUGUUCAUUAGGAGGCGACGUUUGGAGAGUUUAUUUCAGUGUAUGACAGUACACCUGGAAGAGACAAGUUCAUUUUGGAUAGAAUUUCAUGAUUAUUUCUGAUGGGUAUUUCUGAUCCAGAGUAUGUUCCGUGAGUUUUUAUGCAUUGAUGAUUUCUGCUUGGCAUGGAAAUCCAGAUGUUUUUGUUUUCUAUAGGAAUGGUUUUUGUUGCUUUGCUUUGAGUGAAAAUUAUCUGCACAAAGAAAGCAGCAGCGUUAGCAAGAUUCCAUUCCUAUUCAUCCUUUUACAAUCAGCUUUCGGAUGCUGUAUGGAUGUUGUGGUGCUGUGCAUCAAGAAUUCUGAUUUCAGCCAAAAAAAUAAACUCUAAU
ensembl:lncRNA